AAUUGACGACGGUUUAGUGACCAUUUCAAAAUUACAAUGGCGCUGAAGAAAGUGACUUCGGACCAUCCAUCCUUGCGACCGUUGCAGCAGUCCCACGCUGACGUGAUCAAAAUUCGGAUACUCGGCCACUGACUUGUAUUUAUGGCGGGCUCAGGAGAUUUCCCCGAUUUUGCGACCCUCCAAUAAGCAAAGUCAACGGGGAAGCCUGAUUUACUUUACAA